rnacentral:rRNA from 1 species
UACGAAGGGUGCAAGCGUUACUCGGAAUUACUGGGCGUAAAGCGUGCGUAGGUGGUUCGUUAAGUCUGAUGUGAAAGCCCUGGGCUCAACCUGGGAAUUGCAUUGGAUACUGGCGAGCUAGAGUGCGGUAGAGGAUGGCGGAAUUCCCGGUGUAGCAGUGAAAUGCGUAGAGAUCGGGAGGAACAUCUGUGGCGAAGGCGGCCACCUGGACCAGCACUGACACUGAGGCACGAAAGCGUGGGGAGCAAACAGG